rnacentral:tmRNA from 1 species
GUUGGUUUUCCAACUAUAACGAUAAACGAAAUUCGUAAUAAACAUUUUGGACCAGGGGGCGGUACCCUGCACCUCCACCAUUUACAACUCAUGGGGGUGAAAUAGGCUCGACAGAUGUCUAAAAGCUUUUCUUUCGUUCAGUAUUGUUCCGCUGUGACGGGCUACAUUUUAAAUGCUAACGAAAGUUACGCUAUUGCUGCUUAAUUAACUUC